rnacentral:lncRNA from 1 species
UGUUGAGCAGUAUAAAAGUGCUUUUCGUUCAGUACAAAUCAAGAACAUAAUGUUAUACUGUAUCAAUCUAGGUUUUGUAAGGUUUUAAAUCUUUUACUGGAUUUAUUAUAAAAAUGUGGAUGAAAGUUUUUGUUAAUAGAUAUGACUCAAAGCACAUACAUUACGGUUCUUAUGAGCGUUCUUCUUGGGAUAUGUGUGCUUCUGUCAAUAGGUGUGUGUUGUCAUAGAUGUUGGAAGAAGUGGAUACCUAGUUUGAGAUAUAAGAUUCGACAUAAAAUUAGCCCACCGCCGCCAUUAAAUCAGCCGACAGUGAAGUGACGCCAUUUGUUUUGAAAAGCAUGACAUAAUUUAUGGUGACAUCAUAGUAAAAAUAGGGAUCAAGCGGGAUGAUAUAGUUUAAGAUGUCUUAUAUUGAAGCAGAUUCUGUUUUAAAGGGCAUACAUCCUUAUAUCAAUGUCGAAACAAAACUACAACGAGAAGUUAUGGCGAGUGUAGAAUUUGCAAUGAGACAUUAUCAUAGGCAAGAAAAUGACAUGCGAUUACGAAAGACUAGAACACACCUAUGUUUCAGAGUUUGUAAAGAAAUAGUUAUGGCGUUUUCAUGCGUCAAAUAAUUUGUGCUGUGCUGAUUCCUUCAAAAAUGGUUUAACGAUCAGUCUUUUAAAUUAAAUAAGUAUACCUUAUUUAACAAUUGGUGCUUUAUUCAUUAUACAAAAAGACGUUAUGAUUGGCAUCAUAGUCAGAUUGUAUAUAAUCGAAGUCCUUCGGACAUUAGCUUUUAACUGUUCUAAAUAAAUAAGUGUCUUUUUAUAAUAAUUAGACAAGCAUUUAAAUACUU